CAAUAGCGUAUAUUAAAGUUGUUGCAGUUAAAAAGCUCGUAGUUGGAUUUGUGGCUGUCACGGGCGGCCUAUCACUUAGUGUUAGUGCUUGCCUGUGUCGCCAUCCUUGGGUGGAGCCCGUGUGGCAUUAGGUUGUCGUGCGGGGGAUGCCCAUCGUUUACUGUGAGAAAAUUAGAGUGUUCAAAGCAGGCUUAUGCCGUUGAAUAUGUUAGCAUGGAAUAAUAAGAUAGGACCUCGGUACUAUUUUGUUGGUUUGCGCACCGAGGUAAUGAUUAAUAGGGACAGUUGGGGGUAUUCGUAUUUCAUUGUCAGAGGUGAAAUUCUUGGAUUUCUGAAAGACGAACUACUGCGAAAGCAUUUACCAAGGGUGUUUUCAUUAA
rnacentral:rRNA from 1 species